CCCAGCCCUCCCCUGUUGCUGACAGGAAGGAAGGGCCUUAGCCAAGUCCAUGUGCCAGCUGGAAUUAAUGCCACUUUGCAUGCAGCCAACUUGCGGGUGAAUGGGAGAGGUCAGGCUUCUGCUCGUGUGGCUGUGCAGGAAGCCAGUGAGCUCACUGGAAGCAUGAAACAGGAGCUGUCAGAAGAAAUCUCGUCACCAGGCUUUGACAUAAAGAGAGUUAUUGUUCUUGACUUGGGUUUUACAUCCUCUGGUCCUGUUAAACUUGGGUCUGCUGACAGGACUGCAGUGUGCUCAAUGAGUCCCGAGCUCUGCAAGCUUUCCCUUCCCCCUGCCUCGUUGUACUGCAUCCAUUGCUCACUCCUGUAGACAGAUGUGAGAUGAAAAUUGGUGGGUUUGGCACACUCCCUGCUGCAUCCUUCUGGGCACAGCUUCUGUGUGGGCUCAUUGCACGUUGGCUGCCACUGCUGCAUUUCUCAGAAGAAAACCCAUCAUUUUGAAACCUAUCCAUGAUGAUGAUAAAGCCGUGUGUCUUCAGGACAUGACUAGGAGCAGCUCCUUUGCCUCUGCAGAGGGACGAAGAGGAAGGACAGCAGCCAGCCAAAUGCAGCAAAGGACCAGAAGCAUCAGGAAUACCACUGGCAGAUUUUAUGAUGUCUUCCUCUGCAUGCCGACUGCCAUCUCAUGUGUGUUGCUCUCACACCACCUCUGCUCUCACCUGCAAGAUCACUCUGCCCACAGGUCUUUGACUGAGAUUUGAUGUGAGAGCCAGAGACUGAAAGUGAUUCCUGCUUCCCAAGGUCUUCCUGGAUUAACUGUUCAGCAAGGCCCCUGUGAGCACCAUGACCAGCCUGUACCGAUGCCCCGUGGGGCUGUAUUGCACCAGCCAGCCUGGAAAAGAGCUGAUCUUCCUGAAGCUCCAUCCAUCAGCAGGGCUUAUACCUCUGGGGGCCUCCCACGCUGGCCCUGAUCCUCCAGAACCCCAGGGAACUGCUCGCCUGGGGCAGGAAGAGGGUUCAAGAACUGGACAGGGAGUGUUUCUCUUCCUGCCGCAUUAAACACUGUGCCCUGGUUGACCCUGACUUGUAUUUCUUUGUGUUCUGUGACUAUUUUCCACGUCAUUCAUC
ensembl:lncRNA